rnacentral:lncRNA from 1 species
GUUUUAAUGUAGUGACCUAUCAUAUACAAACAAUUUAUUGUGUAUUUAUAUUAAAACAGUAUAGUAUAUAUGUAUAUAUAAAAUUCAUCUAUUUCUUUUCCUGCCUGUCCCCCACCCCCACCCCCGGUACUGGGAAUCAAACUCAAGACCUUGAGCUUGCCAGACAAGUACAGCACACUGAGAUACGCCCCCGGCCCUAUUUUGCAUCUUUGUAUCCAUGAGUGUAUUUCUUGCUCGGCCUCCUAGAGAAAUCCUGACCCCCAACUCCUCAGUCCCCAGGGGCAAUUCUGACCUUGGUGAACUCCAAGAAGGAUACGGCCCCAUCUCCAUCUUCGUCUGCCUCCUGCACUGUGCGGUCUGCAAUGCUCUCCAGCUGCUCCUCAGUCACCUGGACCCCAACCAUCAGACGGAGAACCUGUCCGGUGACAGAAGAGACAGCCAUCAAGUGCCGCUAACCUCCACUUCUCCAAACUCACUGCAUAAAUUAAUACCGAGUUCCCGAUACAUCCCUCACCCAUUUUCACCCCGUCCCAGUCACCUCCACCAUAUCCCCUAAUAAUCCCCCCAGUGCUUCACCAUCAGUUUCCCAUCCAAUUUUCACCAUCCCACACUCACCAAGACGCCCAAACUCUUAUCCCACCCAGACAAACCAGACUCCAUCCACCACACACCCCUGCCUCUACUUCCAGUCCCUUCCCCACCUCCUUGUAUCUGUUCCAGGAUUUCCCCACCUAGACACCAUUGACAUUUGGGGCCAGAUAGCUCUUUGUAGGGGGUCAUCCUGUGUAAGGUACAAUAUAGAGCAGUAUCCUGACCUCUACCGGACUGAUACCAAUUAGCCCACUUUCCCAGUGUGACAACCGAGUGUGUCCCCAGAUAUGGCCAAACGUUGACACAAGGGGGCGAACUCCCCCCAGCAGAGAAUCACUGACCCAUCCCUAACCUCAUACAUCAAUCCCCACCCGUCAUCUCCCAACCAACUCCGCACUCCAGCCCUACCAUUCCCACUCCCCUCCAAAGCCGCAAUCAUCUGCAACAUCCCGCCACGAAUCUCCCCUCCCCACGCCCUAGGCCCCUCCAUUCACACAGCUCUUCUCCCCGGCUGUUUCUUCCAACCUGUAACAUCUCCUGCCUGGAGAUCUUUCCAUCCCGAUCCAGGUCAUAGAGCUGAAACGCAACUAGGCAGAGAGCGGAAGGAAAGGUGAGUCUUCCUAGUUCUCGUGGAUCCCGUGGGGAGGUCGCCAUGGAAGACCGGAAGCAUCCCGGCCUCACAAAGGAGUGGGGAUUCCCGGGCCUUCCCUGGUGAGGGUAAACUGAGGGCUGACGGGCCUUUCCCCACUCACUCACAGCGAAGUUUGUUGGUUCUGCUGUUGAGGGGCUCCGGCUGCUUGGGGUCUCGCAUUCCUGGGUCCUCCUCAUCCACAGGUCGAAAAUGAGCCAGGACCCUGACGAAGCCUGGGAAGUCUACUCGGUGAUUCCUCGAGUGGGAAGGGGCAGGAGUCACUGUGGCGGCUCUCGGCCUCGGCCCGAACCUCGCGCCGCCCGUCCACUCGGGUUCGCCCCCCCCCAAACAGCGGCCUCACCCAUCCGGGAAGAAGCUGUCUACGAUGCGGUCUCCCAGGGGGUUCACGGCCAGCGCCCCGAUCUGCUGCAGGUCGGCGGGGCUGAAAUGGCAGAGUUCACAGGGGUGGGACGGAGCCGCGGACGGGGGCGGCUGCGGCGCAGCGGGG